GUAGCGGGAAAGCAUGUUAAAAACAUGACGUCCUGUCUAGCGCAUUCAUGAUCCACAUCGUGUGGA
rnacentral:sRNA from 1 species